AAAUAUUGUAACAACAUUGAGUUUUACAUAGUAAUUAACUCAAAUGAUAUAUAGGGAAUUUGAAUAAUUAAUCAAGAAUUUGAUUAAUAUAUAUCUCAGAUGACAGUUACAUUUAAUUUUAUUGAUUAUGAAAAAUAGCUCAAUUGCCAAUACCAAUACUAAAUCACAGGGCACUGUAAUUUACUCAUUAAUAUGUCAAUAUUACAUUCUUCAUAUCAAUUAUUGUGAUAUCUCUUACUGUAAAUUAUUGCAGAUCAAAACCGUGGUAUGUCCAGCACACCACUAUAGACCUAUCAAUUUUCAAUAAAGUUAUCACGCCUUAUAAUUCAAGGAAAAGUAUUCUCUGGCCAUGAAAAUAUUAUCCUAUCCUUAUGAUAAAUUUAGUUUCUAAAUUUAGAGCUUGUAGCUAAAGACCAAAACAUUUCAGUGACUCGUAAUGUGAGUGGGGUGGAGUCCAAAGCCAAUCAUUUUAUAUAUGAGUUUUAAUAAUUCAACUAGUAAUACAUCAAACUACAAAUCACACAGAGUAAAAUAUGCGUACGAAAAUACAGACAAUAAACAUUUAAGAGACAUAACGGAAUCCAAAUAAAGAGAGAGAGAGAGAGAGAGAGAGAGAGAGAGAGAGAGAGAGAACGAGAGAGAGAGAGAGAGAGAGAAAAGUGUAGAAAGCGAGAGAGAUCACAGAAUGAGCUCAGGUAUGAAAAUCAUAGUCAGUAACUUUUAGAAGCCAACAACAAAUCAGAUCAUAACAACACUUUAAACCAGCAUUUAAAU